rnacentral:rRNA from 1 species
UCGAGCGAGCUGAAUUCAAAGAUCCCUUCGGGGUGAUUUGUUGGACGCUAGCGGCGGAUGGGUGAGUAACACGUGGGCAAUCUGCCCUAAAGACUGGGAUACCACUUGGAAACAGGUGCUAAUACCGGAUAACAACAUGAAUCGCAUGAUUCAAGUUUGAAAGGCGGCGCAAGCUGUCACUUUAGGAUGAGCCCGCGGCGCAUUAGCUAGUUGGUGGGGUAAAGGCCUACCAAGGCAAUGAUGCGUAGCCGAGUUGAGAGACUGAUCGGCCACAUUGGGACUGAGACACGGCCCAAACUCCUACGGGAGGCAGCAGUAGGGAAUCUUCCACAAUGGACGCAAGUCUGAUGGAGCAACGCCGCGUGAGUGAAGAAGGUCUUCGGAUCGUAAAGCUCUGUUGUUGGUGAAGAAGGAUAGAGGCAGUAACUGGUCUUUA